GACAGAGGGUGCAAACGUUGCUCGGAAUUACUGGGCGUAAAGCGCGCGCAGGCGGCGGUGUAAGCAUGGCGUGAAAGCCCCAGGCUCAACCUGGGAGGGUCGUCGUGGACUGCACCGCUUGAGGGCGGUAGGGGCUGGUGGAAUGCCUGGUGUAGUGGUGAAAUGCGUAGAGAUCAGGCGGAACACCCGUGGCGAAGGCGGCCAGCUGGGCCGUCCCUGACGCUGAGGCGCGAAGGCGUGGGGAGCGAACGGG
rnacentral:rRNA from 1 species